rnacentral:rRNA from 1 species
CGUCGAGGGAAGGCCCUUCGGGGUACUCGAGCGCGAAGGGUGAGUAACACGUAGUAACCUGCCCCUGACUCUGGGAAGCCCGGGAAACUGGGUCUAAUACCGGAUACGACACCUGGCAUCGGGUGGGUGUGGAAAGUUUCGGUUGGGAUGGACUCGCGGCCUAUCAGCUUUUGGUGGGGUAAUGGCCUACCAAGGCGACGACGGGUAGCCGGCCUGAGAGGGCGACCGCCACAUGGGACUGAGACACGGCCCAGACUCCUACGGGCAGCAGUGGGGAAUAUUGCGCAUGGGCGAAAGCCUGCGCAGCGACGCCGCGUGGGGGAUGACGGCCUUCGGGUUGUAAACCUCUUUCAGCAGGGACAGUUGACGUGUACCUGCAGAAGAAGCGCCGGCUAACUACGUGCCAGCAGCCGCGGUAAUACGUAGGCGCAAGCGUUGUCCGGAAUUAUUGGGCGUAAAGAGCUCGUAGGUGGCUUGUCACGGGGUGUGAAAGCUUGGGGCUUAACUCCAGGUCUGCAUUCGAUACGGGCUGGCUAGAUAGUAGGGGAGAACGGAAUUCCUGGUGUAGCGGUGAAAUGCGAGAUAUCAGGAGGAACACCGGGGCGAAGGCGGUUCUCUGGGCCUUACCUGACGCUGAGAGCGAAAGCGUGGGGAGCGAAAGGAUUAGAUACCCUGGUAGUCCACGCUGUAAACGUUGGCGCUAGGUGUGGGGACCUUCACGGUUUCCGCGCCGUAGCUAACGCAUUAAGCGCCCCGUGGGAGUACGGCGCAAGGCUAAACUCAAAGAAUUGACGGGGGCCGCACAAGCGGCGAGCAUGUUGCUUAAUCGACGCAACGGAAGAACUUACCAAGGCUGACAUCGCCGGAAAGCUCAGAGAUGGGCCCUCUUCGGACUGGGUACAGGUGGUCAUGGCUGUCGUCACUCGUGUCGUGGAUGUUGGGUUAAGUCCGCAACGAGCCAACCUUGUUCAAUGUUGCCACACGCUCCUUGUGGGUGGUGGGACUCAUGGAGACUGCCGGGUCAACUCGGAGGAAGGUGGGGAGACGUCAAGUCAUCUGCCCUUAUGCUUGGCUGCAAAAUGCUCAAUGGCCGGUACAAGGGUGCGAUACCGAAGGUGGGCGAAUCCUAAAAGCCGGUUCAGUCGGAUUGGGGUCUGCACUCGACCAUGAAGUCGGAGUCCUAUAAUCGCAGAUCAGCAACCUGCGGUGAAUACGUCCGGGCCUUGUACACACGCCCGUCCGUCACGAAAGUCGGCAACACCCGAGCCGGGCCCAACAGCUUGUCUGGGGAGCGUCGAAGGUGGGGCUGCGAUUGGACGAAGC